UGCCAGACUCCUACGGGAGGCAGCAGUCGGGAAUAUUGCGCAAUGGAGGAAACUCUGACGCAGUGACGCCGCGUAUAGGAAGAAGGUUUUCGGAUUGUAAACUAUUGUCGUUAGGGAAGAUAAAAGACUGUACCUAAGGAGGAAGCCCCGGCUAACUAUGUGCCAGCAGCCGCGGGAAUACAUAGGGGGCAAGCGUUAUCCGGAUUUACUGGGUGUAAAGGGAGCGUAGACGGCAGAGCAAGUCUGAAGUGAAAGCCCGCGGCCCAACUGCGGGACUGCUUUGGAAACUGCCCGGCUAGAGUGCUGGAGAGGUAAGCGGAAUUCCUAGUGUAGCGGUGAAAUGCGUAGAUAUUAGGAGGAACGCCAGUGGCGAAGGCGGCUUACUGGACAGUAACUGACGUUGAGGCUCGAAAGCGUGGGGAGCAAACAGGAUUAGAUACCCUAGUAUA
rnacentral:rRNA from 1 species